AAGCUCAAUACAGAGAUGGCACACACAUGUUGUGCAAUAUUUAGACGAUGAUUGUUCUCUCUGCAGCAGAAUUAGUAUGAAUCAGUAGGUACAUCCGUACAUGCAUGAACUCUGUGUUUGUUUCUGAUCGAAACUUAAUAAACUUUGAUGAGUGAUAUGAACUCUUACUAUCCUGGAUGUUAUUUCAAUCAGUUGGGGGGGUGGACUUGUACUUGAUGUUGAAUCUUUAAAUCAAAUGUUCAGUUGUUUGUUAGUACUGAUAUAAGUUGGAAGGGUAAGUAGACUUGUUGAAAGAAGGGUAGGUGUUGUCUGGUUUGACUUACAGGUUAGAGUUCGAGAAGUUGAUAGAAGUAUCUUUAUGUAGGAUUACAAUCAAAUGAUCUUACCCUUGUAGCUCAAGCUCUGGUACUCUUUUUAGGAUCAGCUACAUCCGGAGUAAUCUGGGAGAGGUUCUUUUGCUUGCUAUAUUCAUGUCACUUGGCUACCUGGGUAUUUUAGCUGCGGUGGUGCCAACAUUCUGAUAAAGGGUUAGUGAUGCAUGGUCCGGGUGGAGGCGGCGGUCCAGGAGGAGGAGGGCCUGGUGGAGGGGGAGGACCGGGUGGUUGGGGUGGAGGUCCAGGACCGGGAGGGCCGGGAGGACCAGGCUGGGGUCCAGGUCCCGGAGGACCAGGUUGGGGUCCAGGUCCUGGAGGACCGUGGGGUCCUGGGCCUCCGGGACCUGGCGGACCUUGGGGUCCGGGAUUUGGCGGGGGGUGGUGGGGCGGACCUGGUGGCUUCUUUGGUGGGUUUGGCAAUGGCAUAUGUGAGAUGAUAUCUUCUUGCUUCUACUGCUUGUGUUGCUGUUGUUUGCUAGAUGAAUGCUUUGGUGGACCUCGUGGCGGAUAUGGACCUCCUGGAGGACCUCCUCCUCCAUUCUGAUACAGUUUGUUUUACUACUGAGGUUGGCUGCAUCUGUAUUUCAAUGUAGUACCUAAUAAUUGAGAGCUCUAUAUAUUAUUAGUCAUGCAAGUUACAAAGUCUCAUGGACACAGCUUAUUAAGACCACGCUGCAUUUUGAGUCUUGUUAAUGUCAACUUAUUAUUACCAUAUUGCAUUUCGAGUCUUGUUAAUGUAGAGUUUAAUGAUGAAAGUUGGAUUGUGAGCUUUAUGCUGAGUUAUUCAGUUACACUGUUUCGAGAACCCUUGUUGUUUACUUCCAAAUUGAAAUGAAACACUUAUUCAUCCCUAUAAUCAAUCCUUUGAGAAAUGAUUUGAUUAUUCAAUGAGCACCUGGAGAAUGAUCUUAUAUUGAGCUAUGCAAGUACCAAAUUUUGAAGACUAAUACACGCACUACAAAAUCUACUUCCCUUUCUGUCAAAGCAAUCAUAAUUUGGAAAUGAAUCAAGUCCAAUUACAAUUUGAUUGCUAUUUACAGUAUAGUAUAUUCUUUUCUUUCUUUGACUCUGCAUAAUGUUUGCAUAUGUACAAUACUGGUAAGUAAAAUGAGACCCCAUUGUCGGUGCUUCAGACUCAUGAGGAUCGAAGUCGACUGCCUAUAAGUUAUAGUUUCCAACCAUUUACAGAAAACUUUGGCCAAGAAGUAUACAUCUACAGUGUAAGGCAAACAAAAAGCCUGACCAAUAAUACUAUUAAGGGUUAAUAUAUACUUUCUGCAAUGUUUAGAUGAUAAUUGUUCUCUUGCUGCAGAAUUAGUAUGAUCAGUAGGUUGAUGCAUGAACCCUGUGUUUGUUUCUGAUCGAAACUUAAUAAACUGUCAGUCCAUUGAUAGAGCAAUUUGGGCCUAGUCCACUCCCAAUAAACUUCGAUGAGAUCCGAACUCUAACUAUCCUGGAAGUUAUUUCAAUCAGUUGGGGGGUGGACCUGUACUUCUUGUUAAAUUAAAAGACUCAUUUAUCAAGUGUUCAGUUGUUUGUAGUAGUGAUAGAAGUUGGAAUGGUAAGUAGACUUGUAGAAAGAAGGAUAGGUGUCUGGUUUGACUUACUGGUUUGAGUUUGAGAAGUUGGUUGAAGUGUCUUCAUGUAGUCCUAGCUGGGAUUACAUCAAAUGCUUCAAGGGUAAGCAAGCUCAAGCUUUUGUACUCUUAUUAGGAUCAGCUACAUCUAUAGUACUCUUAGAAAAGUUCCUUUGCUUCCCACGCUCAUUACACUUAGCUGCCUGUGUUUGCUAGCUGCGGUGGUGCCAACAUUGAGAUAAAGGGUCAGUGAUGGAUGGCGGAGGUGGAGGUGGAGGUGGCGGUCCAGGAGGAGGAGGGCCUGGUGGAUGGGGUGGAGGGGGAGGACCGGGUGGUUGGGGCGGAGGGCAUGGAGGGGGAGGGCCGGGUGGUUGGGGCGGAGGUCCUGGAGGGGGUGGUCCUGGUGGAUGGGGCCAUGGGCCAGGAGGACCGGGAGGCUGGGGUCCAGGUCCUGGAGGACCAUGGGGUCCUAGUCCGGGAGGACCUUGGGGUCCUGGGCCUGGCGGACCUUGGGGUCCGGGAUUUGGCGGGGGAUGGUGGGGCGGACCUGGUGGUUUCUUUGGUGGGUUUGGCAAUGGCAUAUGUGAGAUGAUAUCUUCUUGCUUCUACUGCUUGUGCUGCUGUUGUUUGCUAGAUGAAUGCUUCGGUGGACCUCGUGGCGGAUAUGGACCUCCUCCUCGUUUUUGAAUUCUGAUACAGUUUGUUUUACUACUAUACAAAGGGUGUCUGCAUCUGUAUUUCAAUAUAAUCACCUAAUAAUUGAGAGUUCUAUAUAUCACUAGUCAUGCUUGCACAGCUCACAGCUAGAUGAUGUUAUUACCACAUUGCAUUCCAUUCUUGUUAAUGGGAGUUUAGUGAAGAAAGUUGUAUUGAUUGCUUUAUGUUAACCUUGUUAUUCAGUUACACCGCCGAGAACCCUUGUUGUUUACUUCCAAAUUGAAAUGAAAGACACUUAUUCAUCCCUGUAAUCGAUCCUUUGAGAAAUGAUUUGAUUGUUCAAUGA